CGAACGCUGGCGGCGCGCCUAACACAUGCAAGUCGAACGAGCGAGAAGGGCUUGCUUUCUCGAGCGAGUGGCGAACGGGUGAGUAACGCGUGAGGAACCUGCCUCAAAGAGGGGGACAACAGUUGGAAACGACUGCUAAUACCGCAUAAGCCCACGGGUCGGCAUCGACCAGAGGGAAAAGGAGCAAUCCGCUUUGAGAUGGCCUCGCGUCCGAUUAGCUAGUUGGUGAGGUAAUGGCCCACCAAGGCAACGAUCGGUAGCCGGACUGAGAGGUUGAACGGCCACAUUGGGACUGAGACACGGCCCAGACUCCUACGGGAGGCAGCAGUGGGGAAUAUUGCACAAUGGGGGAAACCCUGAUGCAGCGACGCCGCGUGGAGGAAGAAGGUCUUCGGAUUGUAAACUCCUGUUGUUGGGGAAGAUAAUGACGGUACCCAACAAGGAAGUGACGGCUAACUACGUGCCAGCAGCCGCGGUAAAACGUAGGUCACAAGCGUUGUCCGGAAUUACUGGGUGUAAAGGGAGCGCAGGCGGGAAGACAAGUUGGAAGUGAAAUCUAUGGGCUCAACCCAUAAACUGCUUUCAAAACUGUUUUUCUUGAGUAGUGCAGAGGUAGGCGGAAUUCCCGGUGUAGCGGUGGAAUGCGUAGAUAUCGGGAGGAACACCAGUGGCGAAGGCGGCCUACUGGGCAC
rnacentral:rRNA from 1 species